GUGUUUACACUCUAGGUCGCUCCCUCAGGGAACUUUGGGGAGAGUUAUCAGGAGGCCUGCACAGUCCCAAGAUGCACCGAGGAUAGGGCAGUGGGAUGGCCACCUGCAAGUGCGGAGGAACGGGGGUAAGCAGAGUAAUAAACGCAGGUAGUCGAAAUCACGUUGUCAAGCUGACCACAGCCCACGAAGGCCAGCCUGGCGUGCUGGUGCCUUGCAUGGCCACAAUCCCUGCACCGGGAAGCAGAGGCAGGAAGACGACGAGUUCAAGGUCAUUUUGGCUACAAGGCCCUGGAAAAAACAAACCAAACCAAAACGGAACUGUGUCCAGAAAGGAAGGACACCACGGCCCAUGUCGUGACAAGGGGUCAGCAACUGAAGAGGAAGCAGGUCCCUGAGAAGCUAGGUCUGGGUUCCCCAUCUGCAGGCGCACACUCAUUCCUGCAGGGUCCGCUAACUUCCACAGGGUCUCAUUGGGUCUCGCUCCUCUAGCUAGAGGAUUCGUGCAGAGAAGCCACGUUCUAGUCCGGAAGUCUCCAUGACCCAGUUCCUCAGCCUCCUUACUUACUUUGGCUGGCGUUUGGUCUCCGGUGCGAGAGCAGAAGUGGAAUUGAGAACAGAGAGGAUGCGGAUUUGGUGGCUACGCAAAGCUUCAAGGGGUCUGACUAGAACAGUUCCUGCGGCCUUCCUGUGGUUGGAGACACACAGCUAACUCUGACCAGUGAGCGGACACGCGAAGUAACAUGUCCCUUCCUCUUCCCAAAUAGUCUUUCUUCUGCUUUCAUGCCUUUAAAAAGAAAAAUCUAGAUUUUUGCACUUGGGAGAAAACACGUAACAUCUACCUCUCCGAGUCAGGCUUAUUUCUGCUGAAGUUCCAUCCAUGUGAACGACGUCACCACGAGCUCCUUCCUAACUGAAUAAAACUCCGAGCUGUCUA